rnacentral:rRNA from 1 species
UACAGAGGGUGCGAGCGUUGUCCGGAAUCACUGGGCGUAAAGGGCGCGUAGGCGGCCACUGCAAGUCAGUUGUGAAAUCUCCGGGCUUAACCCGGAAAGGUCAACUGAUACUGCAGGGCUAGAGUGCAGAAGGGGCAACUGGAAUUCUCGGUGUAGCGGUGAAAUGCGUAGAUAUCGAGAGGAACACCUGCGGCGAAGGCGGGUUGCUGGGCUGACACGUGACGCUGAGGCGCGAAAGCCAGGGGAGCGAACGGG